rnacentral:misc_RNA from 1 species
UUUCCGUAGGUGAACCUGCGGAAGGAUCAUUAUUGUAUAAUCGAGGUGCGAGGGCUGUCGCUGACCCGAAAGGUCGUGCACGCCCGAGUGCCCUCACACACAUCCCUCUCACCCCUAUGUGCACCACCGCGUGGGUCCCCCUUUGGCUUGUUCGGCGGGGGGCUUACGUUUUCACACUAACUUUGUAUGCAGUGUAGAAUGUAUUUUUUGUUUUUGCGAUCACGCAAUCAAUACAACUUUCAACAACGGAUCUCUUGGCUCUC